rnacentral:rRNA from 1 species
AUUGAACGCUGGCGGAAUGCUUUACACAUGCAAGUCGAGCGGCAGCGCGGGGGCAACCCUGGCGGCGAGCGGCGAACGGGUGAGUAACAUAUCGGAACGUACCCAGUCGUGGGGGAUAACUAUCCGAAAGGAUAGCUAAUACCGCAUACGUCCUGAGGGAGAAAGCGGGGGAUCGCAAGACCUCGCGCGAUUGGAGCGGCCGAUAUCGGAUUAGCUUGUUGGUGGGGUAAAGGCCUACCAAGGCGACGAUCCUUAGCUGGUCUGAGAGGAUGAUCAGCCACACUGGGACUGAGACACGGCCCAGACUCCUACGGGAGGCAGCAGUGGGGAAUAUUGGACAAUGGGCGAAAGCCUGAUCCAGCAAUGCCGCGUGAGUGAUGAAGGCCUCGGUUGUAAG